rnacentral:rRNA from 1 species
AUGCAGGAUGAGCAAACGAAAAAUGGAAACUAUGAACACUAUUAUCUCUCUGGUCAUCUGGAGCAUAUGGUGGGAAAGAUAGAAGGCUUUGAUAGUGUGCACAUGUAUUUAUCGGUCUCCGCGCCAUUUGGGACUUUAUACAAUAAAAAAACAAUGUGUGUGCACAUAUGCUCAAAACACCAUUUUUUGGCUAAAGGAUAUCUCAUUUAUUAUCAUACAUGCUUGCCCAGACAUAUAUUUGUUUUAAAUGAGACUCUAUACUAUCAAGUUAAAAUAUGUAUAUUCAUCUUAUUUUACACAACAACCCACCGUGUUUUCUAUUAG